CAUAGGAAGCAGAGCCGUGAAGAAGCAGAGACCAAAGCUUCUGAAUCCAGGCAGGACUGGGGGUUCAAGUCACGCCUGCUCCUCAGGAGUUAGUGUGAAGUCAGGGCAACAGUUUUAGUGUCUUUGAGUCUCAGUUUCCUCACCAGUGAAAGGGAAGCUAAGAUGUUUCAUAUGGAUUAGGUGAGAUGAUAAAGGAAAAAAAAUCUGCAAGAAGGUAUCAUUCCAAAGCUGGUUAAAUAUGCUGAAAUGUUCUGGCUCAGUGACACCCACCACAGCACGCUCAAAGACCAUCCGCAGAAUAUCUGGAAGUGGUCCUAAGGCCAGCCAAGUCUUAUAGUGUGUGGAGGACACAGCAGGGCAACCCGCAGGACUUAUUACUCUGUCAUCCAGUAUUGCUCAGGCCAGCUGCUUUUGGAAGCCAGCACACAAAUCUGGUCAUCCUAUCGUAAGAAGCCAAGACAAACGUCCAAGAUAUUGAAUCAAGGCAGCCCAACAAUUCCUGUAUAAGUACCGCACGCUAACCGACUGUACUGCUGGAGCUCCCCAAUAAUUCCUGAUACAUAGACACACUGGAGGCUUUGGGGAGAACGAGCCAGGAUGAAGCUCUGACACAGCAGAGACCCAGCGAGGCCAGGCUCAGGGAGGUUUAUAGGAGCUCAAGGGAGAGGACAUGCAAUGAUGCACAGAAGCUGUGUUGUCACUCGCUGUCUGUGGACAGCCAGCAAGCAGCCGUCUGUGAGGACUCUAUAGACCAACACAUUUCAGGUAUAGAUGGAUGUGCCCAUGGCAGAGUGCAGGCUAGCACCCUGGAAGCCAUCCUCACUGGCAAGGGGAGAGAGAGAGAGAGAGAGAGAGAGAGAGAGAGAGGGAGAGGAGGGGAUCCAGAGGGCACAGCCACAUUUGGGAAAGACAGAUGAUGAUCAUAGGCCCUGGGUUUCUUUGGACCCAAGUUAGCCCAAGCCACAGGAAUCUCCAUCUCCUGCCCUGCCUGUGUGCUUGAUGCUUUUCCAAGACAAAACCCUCAAGUCCCCCAGGACAGGCCUGGGUUCCUACUACUUUCUCAUCAGAGCUUGACUCAAGAUGAGGGUAGAAAAGGACUAACCGCACCCCCAGAGUCAGGGACACCAAAGGAACAGUCUCGGCGUCAAUGUGGGUCAAAGGAGUGAGAUGGCUUUUGUGGUCUUCCUUUUGGCCACAUCAGGGCCACUUUCCUCUCGUCACUCUCCUGUCCACAGCCUGGCAGAAGAGUUUGUUCUCUAAGGGAAGGAGUAAGAGGCACUCUCAGGCUUACAAAUUUGGGGUGAGGGGUAGGAAAGAAAAGGAAGGAAGGAAACCUACUGGGUCAGUGUGUUCUCACUCUAGAGCUCUGCAUGUAGAGUGGGGUGAUUUGUGGCAAGAAAUAAAGUCAGUUUCAUCUCUAA